rnacentral:tRNA from 1 species
AGGUAAUUCGGACAGCUGACUCUUAAUCAGCGGGUCACAGGUUCGAGCCCUGUAUCGCCUACCA